CGAACGAACCCUUCGGGGUUAGUGGCGCACGGGUGCGUAACGCGUGGGAACCUGCCCUUAGGUUCGGAAUAACAGUUAGAAAUGACUGCUAAUACCGGAUAAUGUCUUCGGACCAAAGAUUUAUCGCCUUUGGAUGGGCCCGCGUUGGAUUAGCUAGUUGGUGGGGUAAAGGCCUACCAGGGCGACGAUCCAUAGCUGGUCUGAGAGGAUGAUCAGCCACACUGGGACUGAGACACGGCCCAG
rnacentral:rRNA from 1 species